CCUCGCCAAUUGCUGUUGUCGGGCAGUCUGGUGCCAGCAGCCGCGGUAAUUCCAGCUCCAAUAGCGUAUAUUAAAAUUGUUGCAGUUAAAAAGCUCGUAGUUGAAUUUCUGCUGCAUUGCUUUUGCUCCUUUACGAGUCUUUGCAUUGUGGCUUAUUUCGGACUUUGUUUUACAAUGUCCGGAUGUUUACUUUGAGAAAAUUAGAGUGCUCAAAGCAGGCUUUCGCCUUGAAUAGUUUAGCAUGGAAUAAUAAAGUAGGACUUUGGUUCUAUUUUGUUGGUUUUAGGUACCAAAGUAAUGGUUAAUAGGAACAGUUGGGGGCAUUCGUAUUUAACUGUCAGAGGUGAAAUUCUUAGAUUUGUUAAAGACGAACUACUGCGAAAGCAUUUGCCAAGGAUGUUUUCAUUAAUCAAGAACGAAAGUUAGGGGAUCGAAGACGAUCAGAUACCGUCGUAGUCCUAACCAUAAACUAUGCCGACUAGAGAUUGGAGGUCGUCAGUUUUUACGACUCCUUCAGCACCUUGAGAGAAAUCAAAGUCUUUGGA
rnacentral:rRNA from 1 species